rnacentral:rRNA from 1 species
ACAGCAGUCGCCGCGGGAAUACGAAGGGAGCUAGCGUUGUUCGGAAUUACUGGGCGUAAAGCGCACGUAGGCGGUUAUUCAAGUCAGAGGUGAAAGCCCGGGGCUCAACCCCGGAACUGCCUUUGAAACUAGAUGACUGGAAUCUUGGAGAGGUCAGUGGAAUUCCGAGUGUAGAGGUGAAAUUCGUAGAUAUUCGGAAGAACACCAGUGGCGAAGGCGACUGACUGGACAAGUAUUGACGCUGAGGAGCGAAAGCGUGGGGAGCGAACAGGAUUAGAUACCCGAGUAGUCCCUGUCUCUUAUAC